GUGUAAGAAGAAAUAAGACCCAGUGGCCUGUCAUAAGGAAAAGAGCACACCAUAUACCAUGGACCAACAUCUCGGGAAUCACCACUGCGUUAAUGCGAGCCGAUGAAUCAUACGGGUUCAUGUAGUCAGCCUCCAAGUCUAUUAGAGGCGACGAGAGCGACGUUCAUUACGAAGAAGAUCACCCACAGAACCACUUCCCACGCCAUUUAAUCAAUCGUCUCUUUCAGGAUGAAAACAAUUCAGGGUUU
rnacentral:lncRNA from 1 species